AUGAUAUGUACGUGUUUUGCUGACGUCGUCGGCAUCAUGCCCAGGCAACCAGGAUCUUCAAGGUUGCGACACGUCAAUCGUGUUGAUUCGCCCAAGACCGCUGAGCUUCUGGUAGCGCGGUCGGUCGACAAUCGUCGAUAGAAGC
rnacentral:ncRNA from 1 species